rnacentral:rRNA from 1 species
UACGAAGGGGGCUAGCGUUGCUCGGAAUUACUGGGCGUAAAGGGCGCGUAGGCGGCACUGUUAGUCAGGCGUGAAAGUCCUGGGCUCAACCUGGGAACUGCGCUUGAUACGGCAGAGCUAGAGGAUGGAAGAGGCUCGCGGAAUUCCCAGUGUAGAGGUGAAAUUCGUAGAUAUUGGGAAGAACACCGGUGGCGAAGGCGGCGAGCUGGUCCAUUACUGACGGCUGAGGCGCGACAGCGUGGGGGAGCAAACAGG